rnacentral:rRNA from 1 species
GAUGAACGCUAGCGACAGGCCUAAUACAUGCAAGUCGAGGGGCAGCACGGUGUAGCAAUACACGGGUGGCGACCGGCGCACGGGUGAGUAACGCGUAUGCAACCUGCCUACUACAAGGGGAUAACCCGUUGAAAGACGGACUAAUACCCUAUAACACAGGGAAUCCGCAUGGAUAUAUUUGUUAAAGAUUUAUCGGUAGUAGAUGGGCAUGCGUUCCAUUAGCUUGUUGGUGAGGUAACGGCUCACCAAGGCAACGAUGGAUAGGGGAACUGAGAGGUUGAUCCCCCACACUGGAACUGAGACACGGUCCAGACUCCUACGGGAGGCAGCAGUGAGGAAUAUUGGUCAAUGGACGAGAGUCUGAACCAGCCAAGUCGCGUGAAGGAAGACGGCCCUACGGGUUGUAAACUUCUUUUGUAAGGGAAUAAAUAGUCUUACGCGCUAAGACGUUGCAGGUACCUUACGAAUAAGGAUCGGCUAACUCCGUG